rnacentral:ncRNA from 1 species
AUUGCAUAUCUCGGGAGCUUGUGGAAGCAGGCUGAGAGUACGGCUAAUCCGUCGUAGACCGUUGAACCUGUUGGAUAAUGCCAUCGUAGGGACGCGUAUCACGCUAAAG